rnacentral:rRNA from 2 species
UGAACGCUAGCGGGAUGCCUUACACAUGCAAGUCGAACGGCAGCACGGACUUCGGUCUGGUGGCGAGUGGCGAACGGGUGAGUAAUGUAUCGGAACGUGCCCAGUAGCGGGGGAUAACUACGCGAAAGCGUAGCUAAUACCGCAUACGCCCUACGGGGGAAAGCAGGGGAUCGCAAGACCUUGCACUAUUGGAGCGGCCGAUAUCGGAUUAGCUAGUUGGUGGGGUAACGGCUCACCAAGGCGACGAUCCGUAGCUGGUUUGAGAGGACGACCAGCCACACUGGGACUGAGACACGGCCCAGACUCCUACGGGAGGCAGCAGUGGGGAAUUUUGGACAAUGGGGGAAACCCUGAUCCAGCCAUCCCGCGUGUGCGAUGAAGGCCUUCGGGUUGUAAAGCACUUUUGGCAGGAAAGAAACGUCGUGGGUUAAUACCCCGCGAAA